rnacentral:lncRNA from 1 species
GUUCGUAUUUCAAAUAAAAAAUAUGCUUUCCUUGAGGAUCCCAAAAUAAAUUACUGUACGAUCAGUCUAAAACUGACUGUAUUCUAGUAGCGAUUUCAGAUUUUUUGUCUGUAUGACCAGUCGUGAUUUUGAAGAAAAAAACAACAACAAAUGGAAGUUUUUAACGACAUUGACUGACAAACAACGGCAAUUUGAAGGUGUAUACGUGUCUAUGUGAAAUUAUGAUUGUGUCCCUGGAACUAUAACGUGUAAUUUCUUUCAUCAGACAAUACAAAUAUAUUUCUGAUGAUUUUUGUAGACGGCAAAAUAAUCAUAUUUUUG